AGAGCGGGAGGAAGGAGGGAGAACAGCGCGCCCGCGGAAGCACGGCGUGAGCAGCCUCGGCUCGGUUUGAUUCCCUGCGCCUAAUAAAGCAGUCCUCGGCAAAGUUAUCGGCCCGGCUAUCUCAAGUGGCUCUUGCCAGCUAUCGGAUUAUACAAAAGGUUGCGUUAGCCAAGGAUGCCGGUGUCCACACCGCAGCCCCUAGACAUGAUUUGUCGUUCAGGUAAAGCAGGCAACUCCGAGCUUCACUCAAACUUUACACGUGCACUGGAGCUGCAGAGAUGGCACAAAACAAGUUACUUCAUGUCUACAAAGAGAACCCAAAGAAGCUUUCCCUGCAAUGCAACGAACUGGAGGGAAGACGCACUGUUAGCUGACUCAAAACAGACACAGAUUUUAUAUCUGUCUCAAAGUAUUGCACUUCUAAGGAAAUAAUACCUUGAUAAUCUGCACUUCAAAACCCAAGUCAAUAAUUGCCUUUGAUGGUGGAAGGAAGGAAAAAAAAAGAAAAAAGGGAUCUUCCAAGACUACAGCAAAGGAAUGCUGGAGAAAAGAUGCUAAAACUAUUGCUGCACUUCUCUGUUUCGAUGCAAUUUACAAUUUAUUUGCCAACAGUUUCACAAUGAUUAGUAAAAUAUGUCAAGAAGCUAAACAAUAUAAGCAUCACACUGAAAGAAAUUUAGCCAGACCUCUUCUAAUUAUUACUGUACAUGACAACUCAACAUAAUACUUAAAAUCAAGGAGAAGAAAAAGAAAUAUUAAGAGUCUUUUCAGAAAAAUGCACGUAUUAUCAUGCCUGAAGGAUAUUGAGGAGGAAUGUGAAAAUAACUGUAAUUUAUUUAAGACCUGGAAGUAUGAAAUAAUAAGCUACCGAACCAUCAGAAUUGUUUUGGUGUUGUUAUCUGACAUGAGGGCAGACCUUGUCUAGCUUUAAGUUUUAUAGUAAUAAGACCUUGGAAAUAAAACCUUGAAUAAACAGAAC
rnacentral:lncRNA from 7 species